CUGAUUGAUUCUGUCAGCGCUAUAUGCUUACGUAAAAGACUAAGCCAUGCAUGUACUGUUCAACUAACGGUGAAACUGCGAACGGCUCAUUAGAGCAGAUAUCAUUUAUUCGGUAAUAUUCUUGGAUAACUGCGGUAAUUCUGGAGCUAAUACAUGCAUCAAUGCCCCAACUUCGGAAGGGGUGCAAUUAUUAGAACAGACCAAUCGUCCUUGGACGUAGUUUGUUGACUCUGAAUAACGCAGCAUAUCGGCGGCUAGUCCGCUGAUAAUCCGAGAAAGUGUCUGCCCUAUCAACCUGAUGGUAGUCUAUUAGUCUACCAUGGUUAUCACGGGUAACGGAGAAUAAGGGUUCGACUCCGGAGAGGGAGCCUUAGAAACGGCUACCACAUCCAAGGAAGGCAGCAGGCGCGUAACUUAUCCACUCCUAAUCGGUGAAGUGGAACCGGAGAGAGUUAACAUAACUUGGUAGCUAUAUC
rnacentral:ncRNA from 1 species